rnacentral:lncRNA from 1 species
CUCCGUGCUUACCGGGGCCUCCCCGGCCAGCCCUCGUGGGAAUAUUGGAACAGACCAGUUGGGGAGGCGGAUGUCAGCACAAGCAGGACCACACAGGGUGACUAGUGCUGUCCCACAGGGAGCCCUGGGCCUGCCCAGCUGGUCUGAGCCCAGCCCUGCAGCGAUGGCUCCCCAGGCCCGGGACCAGGACUCUGCAGUCAGACCGGACCUGAGUCCAGCGCCUCCCGCUCUCUGUGACCCCGGGGAGAGGAGCCCUCGGGGGCAGCAACGGUCAGGAGGGGAACAGCCCCUUGAACUGACUCGCAAGGGGCAGGGGUCUGCUGGUGGUCAUGUGGAGAACAACAGAUUCUGGACAUGCUGGCCGCUCACUGUCCUCCAGUGCUGGAGUCCUGGGCUCUGCAGGUCAGGAGCUGACAAAAGCUGGAUCCAAAUCUGGAAGGUGCCUUCAAGGGCGUGACACCUAACUGGCUGCUAUCCCUGCACCUCCCACGACAGCCUCAUGCUCCGCCGCCCCCGCGAGGAAUUUUAUGGAUGCAAAGAAGGUGGAGACAUGAAAUAAACACUUGGGUUUUAAC